rnacentral:tRNA from 1 species
UGGGGUGUGGCUCAGUGGUAGAGUGCUCGCCUAGUACGCUUGAUGCCCUAAGGUUCAAUCCCAGUACCUCAA